GUGUCCAUAGCUCAGCUGGAUAGAGCAUCCGCCUUCUAAGCGGACGGUCGGGGGUUCGAAUCCCUCUGGACGCG
rnacentral:tRNA from 1 species